rnacentral:rRNA from 1 species
UAAGGAAUAUUGGUCAAUGGACGCAAGUCUGAACCAGCCAUGCCGCGUGGAGGAUGAAGGCCCUCUGGGUUGUAAACUUCUUUUAUCUGGGACGAAAUCACUCUUUUCCAAGAGUGUUGACGGUACCAGAGGAAUAAGCACCGGCUAACUCCGUGCCAGCAGCCGCGGUAAUACGGAGGGUGCAAGCGUUAUCCGGAUUCACUGGGUUUAAAGGGUGCGUAGGCGGGCAGGUAAGUCAGUGGUGAAAUCUUUGGGCUUAACCCGAAAACUGCCAUUGAUACUAUCUGUCUUGAAUGUUGUGGAGGUGAGCGGAAUAUGUCAUGUAGCGGUGAAAUGCUUAGAUAUGACAUAGAACACCAAUUGCGAAGGCAGCUCGCUACACAAAUAUUGACGCUGAGGCACGAAAGCGUGGGGAUCAAACAGGAUUAGAUACCCCCGUAGUCC